AUUGAACGCUGGCGGAAUGCUUUACACAUGCAAGUCGAACGGCAGCACGGGGCAACCUGGUGGCGAGUGGCGAACGGGUGAGUAAUACAUCGGAACGUGCCCAAUCGUGGGGGAUAACGUAGCGAAAGUUACGCUAAUACCGCAUACGAUCUACGGAUGAAAGCGGGGGAUCGCAAGACCUCGCGCGAAUGGAGCGGCCAAUGUCAGAUUAGGUAGUUGGUGGGGUAAAGGUUCACCAAGCCAACGAUCUGUAGCUGGUCUGAGAGGACGACCAGCCACACUGGGACUGAGACACGGCCCAGACUCCUACGGGAGGCAGCAGUGGGGAAUUUUGGACAAUGGGCGCAAGCCUGAUCCAGCCAUUCCGCGUGCAGGAUGAAGGCCUUCGGGUUGUAAACUGCUUUUGUACGGAACGAAACGGCUCUCUCUAAUACAGGGGGCUAAUGACGGUACCGUAAGAAUAAGCACCGGCUAACUACGUGCCAGCAGCCGCAGUAACAC
rnacentral:rRNA from 1 species